UUUGGAACUUGUUUCAUGUCGAGCGAUGAGUUAUGCCGUUUAAAUGAUCUGGAUCAAAGAAAAAUACUUUUUUUCCUCUGCAGAAGUAAACGAAGAUUGGGAGAAACAUGCUUAAUCAUCACCUAAAAAUUAUAAAGAGAUAAGUCUUCCACUUUUCUCACAUCUUGCCAAACAAAUUGUUUAAUUUAUUAAUGUUCAUAUUGAAAUGGUGGUAUCUGAUCUUUGUUUGAUAUUACGCAUUUUGGUUUGAAAAUUUAAUAUAUUUACUCAUGUGCUGGCCGUGCAGUGUGACAUUUGUAUAGGCAGAGCUUUAUUCAUGUGAGUCUAACCAAUAUCACAAAAACAACAAACCUGAAAAAAAUUAGUCAAAAAAAAAAAAAAACAAACCUGAAAAAAGAUAAGUUUUUAUAUAAUGAACAUAAAUGCCUACAGUGACUAAUAUAUUUAAUAUUUGUAAAAUCUAAACUGUUAGCUAAUGUUUUCUCUUAAUUUUACAGUCAAAGUUUACAUAUUGUAUGAUGAUGAAAAUUAUGAGACGAACUCCAACCAAAUCCAUGCAGUACACAUAAAAAAAAUCAAGAGGUGUCGAUUACCUUCACUUGGAUAUACCAAUCAGUUAUGGUAAGGUUUCAGUUUUGAAAGGAGAAUCAGUCUUCGUUCUUUAUUACAGCUGUCCGAAGUAAGAAAAAUGAGUUUUAAAGGUAGCUUCGAAUCGAGUAUGAAGGGAUUCAGAAGCGCUGGUGUUUCAAACGGUCCAGCAAAGAGUCUUGUUUCAUCGAGAUUUGAUCUUCCUCCAGUUUAACUACGGUGAUUAUGGUUUUAUUUGCUCAAGUAUUGGCGGUUAAAGUGGAAGGUGUUCUAUGUUUGGUAUUGGAAUCCCAGAUUGGAGCAUCUUUGUUAUCUUUUGGUGGAAUCAUACAGCGGAGAGAUAGAGAUUGAGAGGUGUUUUCGAGAAGCUGGCGGUGGCGAUGUUUGGCGGUGCGACGGAGAUUGCUGCUCCACACGCAUGAAACACGUCUCCCAGAGACGUGACUUUGGAUUGACCAUUCCUCAACGCGUGGCAAAGCUUUCAGAAGCUCUCUCUACUUGGGUUUUACGUUUAAUGGAGUUUUUUUCUGCUGUAAAAUUAUCUGAUACCAAAUUUAUAAUACCCAUUGGACCAUAUCAAUGAAAUAUCAGUUGACAAAAAAAAGGUGGAAGCUGUUGUGAAUAUAUUAUGUGAUCGACCCAUUUCUGUCUAAGGUUUUUCUGGAAAGGUUUUAACGAGGUAACUUAAGAGCAUGUUACUGACCCUGAAACGUAUGUGUCGAUCAAGGGGGAGUGUUGUGAAUAUAUUAUGUGAUCGACUCAUUUCUGUCCAAACCGGACAGACCGGACCAAACCAUUUCUGGAUGAACCGGACGAACCGAACCGAACCGGACCGGACCAGUCUAUGUCAUACCAGACAUGACCAGGCCUGACUCAAACCCAGCCCAAAAAGACCAGAAGAUGGCGGCCCAAGGAGAUAGAAAGAUAGAGACGGUCCAAGAAGAUAAACAUCAAGAAGAGUCAUGUUUAUCCAUAUGUAAUUAGUGAUUAUCAUAAUCAUAGAUAGAUUAGAAUUUAUAUUCUCUUAUGUUAUGGGAUUUAUAUUUAUCUUCAUUUGUAAACAUGUAUAUAUAAAGACCUUUAGUCCUUAAGAUUAAUAACACAAAAUCACUUCCAAUAAUCUAAAACCCGAGCUAACCUAAAACCCUAGAAAACCCUAGUUUACCCGCCGACUUCAAACAGCUCGAACUCCCUAACCACGAGGAACCAGAAGACGAGACACCUACCGAUUUGAAGAUCUCGGAGAGAAGAAUCCAACGCCGAAGACCUUGACGCAAUCCGAGUUCGGACGAGCCCGCAAUCGUCGUUACAAGUCAACCGGACAGGAAACCCUAAUCUGCCCGAUUUCUCUCUCUCUAAAAGACUCAACUUCAAAUCGAUCGUUCUCCCAAACCAUAACGAUCCAGACGACGUGUGACAUAUCCAUUUGAAGCUAUUGACGAGGAAAAUCCAACUCCGCAGACCUCACCUCAAUCCGUGAUCAGACGCAUUCUCUACGUCAGCCACAAGCCGCACCGUCAACAUCAGAAAACCUAAGGCUGUCAACUUCUUUUUCUUGUUUACUUGAUAGCCGAUUUGCUUAAUUCAUCAUACUGAUUCGUUUUUUUUUAUCUUAAUGAUCUUUUGUUCUAAGAUUAAUGUGAAGACACGACCUGAUGGACAAGUCAUGAAGUCACAAUCUCCUUGCUUGCAAAUCAACUCCAUUGAUUCCAACCCAAAGCCGCAAACUCUAAUCUUUUUUCAUUGUUAUGCGAUUUGUGUUUGAUUUUUAAACUAACUUGAUUUGCGUUUGUGUUUAAGGUAUCUAACCCAAGAGCAGCCUUGAUUCAUGACUUUAUCAUGAUCCAAACCCUAAUCCACGAGCUGCUUCCUAACCCAAAGCUAAGAUAUCAUCUCUCUAGCUUAAAGUUUCGUUCAAACGAUUUGUAUUGAUCUCAUGCUAACUCGUUUUGACUCUUGUGUUUAAGGUUUAACCAAGAUCAAGCUCCUGAUUCAUAAUACCAUUCAACCCAAUAAGAGGUUAAGAUGUCGAGAUUCCAACACUCGGAUUAUGAUGCCCUUGAUCUCAAUGGAGACAAUUAUUUUGAUUGGGCUAUGAACACUUCUGCCGACUUAAAGUCUAAAGGACUCGGGAAGUGUAUCAAAUAUGGAAAUGACACCCUUGCGUGUGAAAGGCAUAGAGCCAUUAUGAUUAUGCAAAAUCAUCUCGUUGAGGAUCUAAGAAAUGAGUACAGCUACAUCAACGAUCCUCAUGUUCUCUGGUCAAGUUUGAAUAUCUAAUUCUCAGAGCCAUUAUUAUAUAAGUCCACGAAAGAGUGGUAUGCUCUGAGGUUCCAGGAUUAUGAAUCCGUGGAUGACUAUCACUCUGAUCUUAUGAAAAUCACCUAUAGUCUUAGACUAUGUGGUGAAGUGAUAACAAACGAGCAUAUGUUAAACAAAACUCGUGACACAUUCCAUUCAAAGGAAGUGUUGUUAUCACAUAAGGCUAAAUGUUUCACAACCUAUUACGACCUUCUCUCAUAUCUUUCAGCUCUUGAGCAAAAGAAGCAGAACAGGAUAGAUAACCUCAACAAACUUGAUGAAGUUAUGGAGAUAUACCAUGAGAACCGAGCACUUGAAAUAUGUUCUGAAGCUGAUGAAGAAUCCGGGUGGACUCACAUGAAUAGUGAGCUUGGUUUAUAUAUUGAAUGAGAAUCAAUGUAAGCCAUGUCCAAGGUGUUAUAAUGGACUGCCUGGCUUUUGUUUAAGCUUUUGACAUUCUGAAUUUUUAUUUAUGAUUUGGU